ACACCGUUAUGUAAAUUAUUACCGAGUUAAGGGUAAUUUCUCCGUAUCCCCACAUGCGCUCGCCGCUGCGCCGCCAUCGUGACAUCGUUCAACUUGAAGUUUGCAAUAUGGAAUCAUGCAGCAACUUCUGAGCGAUUGGGGAUUCGCACAUUUGGUGUCCGCAUUUGAAGAUCCGACUUUGCAAUUCUGCAACCUGAUGCUGCCAACAACCUCUACAGUAAAUGGCCUACACUGUCAGAACAUCUGCUUACAUACUGUCCAAAGACGUGUCCAUCAUGGGAGUCAUUGGUGUUAGAGCAGGAUAUUGAGCUGAAGAAUCUCACAUCAGAGCAAAGGAAGAAUUUGGCUGUGCUUGUUCUGCCGAUCCCUUUUACAGGAAAACUCAAGCUUGGAGCAGUACCUAAAAGAUACACAGUCUCAGUCCUACAUCCUUGCUUUGGGAGGGUCAUCUGUUUCACCUCAGCAAUGAGUGUUAUCAUCAAGAGGCCCUGGAUGUGUGUUUUAAAUCGUACUUCGCAUGUGACCUGAAAUAUCAAGACAAGUGCUGCGUGGCAUGGGAAUUCCUAGAGGCUGUGGUUUAUGGGAUCAAAGGCAAUGUGAAGAGCAGGGCCAUCAGGGACUUCAGAGUCUUCUGCUCCUGCAAAGACCAUCAGCCUUGGUGAGGUCAUCUUGAAAGAGCCCUACCUUCCAGAAGAAACAAACCAGGAUUUAGAGGACAGAGAGUGAACAAGGUGGACUCCAUCUGGGAGAAACAGAAACUUGGUUUGGAGCAGGAGAGGCUCAAAGUUGAUAAGGAGCAGCUGAAAGUUUCUUAGCAGAUUUCAGUUUCACUAAGUGAACUAAGCCACAAUGUUCAGUUGUUGGUCAGUGACAUAUUAGAGAAAGAAACUUAAGAAGCAGUCAUGUAAUAAAAGCAAAUUAUAACAACAAAUUAUAUUGGUAUAAUAAGAACAAGUUAUUACAUUGAAAAACAGGCUUUGAGAUGCAUGAUGGGGGCAAACAAAUGGACCCUUUUCAACAGUUAUUCCUUGUUAUGCUCAGCACUAAGGUACAUGUCAAGAACUGCAUGAGCAUGCCCAUACUUCAAAACGAAAAAGAGCCAUUUUGUCUGCCACUACCAUGUAUCCAAAGUCUCUCAUUGUAUGUUACUGCACAUGGAAAUUGUAAGUUUGACAUAACCUUAAAUGGAGCUUAUUUCUCUUGAGUGCAAAAACUCAUUGAUAAUUAAGCAUCUCUACUGCCUGUAACACAGUCUGAAUAUCAACCCUGGAUUUACACAAAAAUUUGCAAACAUUGAACAAACAAAACAGUUGUGGUUGGUGUUCUUUUCCUUUCCAUUUAAUUACUGCUUCAAUAGAAUGGAUGUAGUCUCAACGGAUUAGACAAACAGAAGGGUUUACUAAUUCUUGAUGGGAACAACUGCCUGGGAAGAAUAGAGAAAUUAUGUUAAUUUGUCAAAAGUAAGUAUUAAUUAUUCUCCUUCUCUGUAUCGUGCCAUCUUGGAUUGGGCCAUCAUAUGGUAUGCCCUCAUCAUCC